rnacentral:rRNA from 1 species
GAUGAACGCUGGCGGCGUGCCUAAUACAUGCAAGUCGAGCGAACAGACGAGGAGCUUGCUCCUCUGACGUUAGCGGCGGACGGGUGAGUAACACGUGGAUAACCUACCUAUAAGACUGGGAUAACUUCGGGAAACCGGAGCUAAUACCGGAUAAUAUAUUGAACCGCAUGGUUCAAUAGUGAAAGACGGUUUUGCUGUCACUUAUAGAUGGAUCCGCGCCGCAUUAGCUAGUUGGUAAGGUAACGGCUUACCAAGGCAACGAUGCGUAGCCGACCUGAGAGGGUGAUCGGCCACACUGGAACUGAGACACGGUCCAGACUCCUACGGGAGGCAGCAGUAGGGAAUCUUCCGCAAUGGGCGAAAGCCUGACGGAGCAACGCCGCGUGAGUGAUGAAGGUCUUCGAAUCGUAAAACUCUGUUAUUAGGGAAGAACAAAUGUGUAAGUAACUAUGCACGGCUUGACGGUACCUAAUCAGAAAGCCACGGCUAACUACGUG